UCUAAUCACCUGUCAUUAGCUUCCUUAGCUUCUUGGUCACUCCUGUGCCUUCCUCGGUAUCUUUAAGCCCCUCUCUCAUCGUUUUCCACUGGCUCCUUCUGUUGCCGGCACCUGGUUGCUUGUAGGAUCCGGUGCUGUCUUUUGUUUGGAUUGGAGAGCGACAAAGCAGCGGAGCAAAUGAGACAGAAACUCAAACUGUAUUAUAAAGCAAUUCCUCCUGCGAGAAGGGGAGUGUGGAUCAGAGAAGGAGCUUGAAGACUUAACAAACCUGCAUCCUUCUGUGGGAUUUAAGAGAUCUGUGGUGAGCCCAGCUGAUGAAUGACCCCAUGGGGCAAAAACUGAAAUGUCAAAAACUCCAGAUUGGAUACGCUCGGACUUCUGCUCCACUUCUUUCCAGUAGUUUUAGUCUGAUGUCCAACUGCAUCGACUUCACAUUAAACAGGGAACGCAAGUCUCACUUGUCUCUAUUAAAAAACAUCUUAUCUUUUUAUCAGGGCUUAGCUUUGUUACUUGAAUGCAGUUGUCAUAAUACGUUUGGCUCAAAAAAAGUCACUGUACGCUAAUGCUACACAUGUGGUGGAUAGAAAAAGAAGUUAAAAUGCU